CAGCAAGAAUGUUGGCCAGGCCACUGUUAAGGGUAUAACUAUCUAGACCACUGAAUGAGAAAGUCAGUUUUGUUCUUGACUGAGAAAGAGAGGCAACAUUGGAUGAUCAGUAACCCACAGAGUAGGGAGCCAGCAGGGCCAGCUAAUGACCCCCUCAGGCUGGGGGUGCCACAGAAAAAGACAAUGUGGUACAUAGUAUUCAGACCUAAAGUCCCCGACCAAAGACUUCUGAGAAGCCAGAUACUUGAGGAGCCUAGAACAUUCUCUGCAUCUAGUGCUCAAUUUAUUCAAGCCACCAGGUUCCAGAUGCUAGCUAGCAUGAUGCUGACCAGACUUUCCUGGACAGAUGACCCUACCAGUGUGUCCUAGAGCUCCGUUUCCCCAGAGCCCCAACCUACUAGGGAAAGAUAGAGGCAGACUGGGAGUAUGGAUUCCCCAUGUUCAGCGGGGAAGCAAUUACAGAAGCCAGACCUUCCACCUUCUGCAUCCCACAAUGACCUUGGGUCCAUACUCCCAGAGGGAUAGAGAAUAGGAAAGCUAUCAGGGGAGGGGAUAGGAUAUGGAGAUCUGGUUGUGGGAACUGUGUGGAGUUGUACCCCUCUUAUCCUACGGUUUUGUUAAUGUCUCCUUUUUAAAAUAAAUUAAAAAAAAGAGAAAGAACAAAUGCAGGGAUGAACAGAGUAAGAUUCAUCCUCUGCUGCAACAAAGAUGUGCUUUAUCCAAGAACAAAGCUUCUCAUUUAAAAAAAUUAUUUAUGCAGUGAAGCAGGUCUGCAGGUGUCUCUUUUUCUCUCCCCCUCUGUCUUCCUCUCCUCUCUCCAUUUCUCUCUGUCCUAUCUAACAAUGACGACAUCAAUAACAACAACAACAACUACAACAAUAAAACAAGAGCAACAAAGGGGAAUAAAUAAAUAAAUGUAAAAAAAAAAGAAGAAAAGAAAAAAUCUCCCCUUUGUAUGCCAAUGAAAUUUCAAAUCAAAAGUUGUUAAAUCAAGUCAAGGCUAUGGGGUUUUGAGUAAGCUUAU